rnacentral:lncRNA from 1 species
AUCAAAACGGAUUAUUUUAGAGUAAUCUGUUAAAAUUUGUUUCUAAAAAAAUUAGAAAAAACUUCAAAUACCACCCAUGUGGUUUUGUACUUUUUCACUUUAGUACCAUGUGGUUUAAAGUGUAUCAAUUUAGUACCUUGUGUUUUAAAAUGUAUCAAUUUAGUACCAUGUGGUUUCGCACUUUGUCAUCCAGUGGUUUAAAGUAGAUCAAUUUAGUACUUUGUGAUUUCAUUUUUCUUUUUUCGUCGGCUCCCCGGUUAAUAUUUCAUUAAAUUAUGUACAAAAAACUUCAGAUACCCUACCUUGGUUUAUCGAAUAUUUACUUUAGUACCCAUUAGUUUUAAUUUUGUCACUGGUUUUUUUUCUCUACAAAAUUUUAGAUAUCCUGCCUAGGUUUAUCAAAUAUUCACUUUAGUACCCUUUAAUUUUAAUUUUGUCACUGAUUAACAAGAAAAAUUAGUGAAAUGGAUAAAAAAAAGAGAAAAAUAAAAUCACAGGGUACUAACUUGAUACACUUUAAAUCACAAGGUACAAAAGUGAGAAAGUGCGAAACCACAGGGGCUAACUUGAUACACUUUAAAUCACAGAAAACUAAGG